UACGAAGGGGGCUAGCGUUGCUCGGAAUCACUGGGCGUAAAGCGCACGUAGGCGGCUUCUUAAGUCAGGGGUGAAAUCCUGGAGCUCAACUCCAGAACUGCCUUUGAUACUGAGGAGCUUGAGUCCGGGAGAGUGAGUGGAACUGCGAGUGUAGAGGUGAAAUUCCGUAGAUAUUCGCAAGAACACCAGUGGCGAAGGCGGCUCACUGGCCCGAUACUGACGCUGAGGCACGAAGCGUGGGAGCAAACAGG
rnacentral:rRNA from 1 species